rnacentral:rRNA from 1 species
GAAUGCUGACAUGAGUAACGAUAAGGGGAGUGAAAAACUCCCCCGCCGAAAGACCAAGGUUUCCUGUCCCAUGCUAAUCAGGGCAGGGUAAGUCGGCCCCUAAGGCGAGGCGGAAACGCGUAGUCGAUGGGAAACAGAUUAAUAUUUCUGUACUUCUAUAUAUUGCGAAGGAGGGACGGAGUAGGCUAGGUGAGCACGGCGUUGG